CGCGUAGGUGGUUUGGUCAGUCAGAUGUGAAAGCCCCGGGCUCAACCUGGGAAUUGCACCUGAUACUGCCAAGCUAGAGUACGGUAGAGGGUAGUGGAAUUUCCGGUGUAGCGGUGAAAUGCGUAGAGAUCGGAAGGAACACCAGUGGCGAAGGCGACUACCUGGACCGAUACUGACACUGAGGUGCGAAAGCGUGGGUAGACAAAACA
rnacentral:rRNA from 1 species